GCGGGCGUCGUCUAGUCUGGACUAGGACACUGGCCCCCCAAGCCAGUAACCCGGGUUCAAAUCCCGGCGCCCGCA
rnacentral:tRNA from 1 species